rnacentral:lncRNA from 1 species
CUCAUUGGUGUUGGAGUUCUAGGGGUCAUGGUUCUAGGGUCCUUAUCCGUCUUGAUCUCAUGGUUCUAGGGGUCCACGCUUGAGCCCUGGUGUGAUAACAGACUGUCUGCAUUGGUCUACCCUAUCCCUGAUGACGACUAUAACGUCCCCUACAACUCCCCAGUAGCCAACCUCUCCUGCCAGCGCACGUUAGACCUGGCCACAAGGGGAAAUAAGGUAGCUUAACUCCAGACGUUUCCAUACAAGCUUUUGGAAGGCCACACUUUAGGCACCAAAUGGAAGAGUAAUGCACUGAAACAGGCUGGGACUACCUGAACUUGUCCAAUAAGAAAUGUUUAUAUAACACAUAUUUUCCUAAUCUGACCCUAGAACAGGCCCAAAGCCCUUGCACCUCCAAGGAGGUACUGCCGACACCAGGACGUCACUAGUGAGGAGGGGGCCCCUGGGGACCUGCCAGACUCCAAUGUUUCCAGUAGAGGCUCCCCUGUUAGAGAGGACGGAUGGAGUCCCACACAUACCAACUGUCAGGAAGUAGAGAGUGAGAGAGAAAGAGAGAGAGAAAGAGAGCAAGAACACUCAGGGGGAAGUGGAGAGACUCUCACCCACUCAGAGGCUCGCUCUGCUGCCAUCACUGACUGCCCUCGAUACUCAUCCUGCACAGAAGACAGACUACACACAGGUGCUGAAUCUGCCUUCCACCUCUGCUCCCAGAGUAAGAGGCCGGGCCUGAGGAGGCAGGGCCGCGUGGAGCAGCUCCCCCCAGAAAAGCUUCACGACCCCUGGGUUAGGAUCUCCGACAGCGCCCCUGAUCUUGGAGGUCCUGAAGACCCCCAUCAGAACCAGAGUCUGACUCAUCCGAGCACACACCGUCACAACACACACUCCCACAGUAGCACACACCAACAACAAACACACCAUCUCAGCUCACACCACGACACCACACACACUCCAUCCCAAACCGACAGACACCCCAACGACACACACUCCCCAGUCGCCAUGAGCCAACCGAGUGAGUUUCCCGAGCUUCCUGAACUCAACUGUACUUCCACCCCACCACACCGCCCCAGACCCCCACCACCCCUCCACCCUUGCCUCCCUAAUCUCCACCCUCAGCCCAAGGACUGAGGACCCCCCAGGGUGAGGAAGGGGCCCCCCAGUUGCCCCCAAGCCUGUGUGGAACCGUCAGAGCCUCAGGAGUAUUAGGAAUGGGAGGCCCCAGGCUGAGCUGGCCAAACCCCUGGACAUCAGAGGCGGUGGAACGUACGUAGUGUUUCUCCACAACAUUUCUCCUUUAUAUUGUGUUUUAUGUAAAUGUAGCGGAGGCGGUUCAGUCUUGCCUGAGAUCUGAAGACUUGUGUUAGCGCCUAAAGUGUAGGCUUUUAUUUCAGGCGGUUGAGGGUGGUGUUGAAGGGUAUAGGUAACCUGGGUUUUGAUUCCCAGUCGGUCCAUCAAGUAUUGUGUGUUCAUGAGUUAUAAGCCAACAAGAAUUUCUGUCUCAUGUAAAUUAUCCAGGUGGAUGGACAAUAACAUUUAAAAAUGUGUAUUUCAACAGCACCUUCGGGGUACGUCUGCGGCCCACCUCCUCUACAGCCCAGCUGUCAAUCAAGCAGAAGAUCCAUUCAUUUGAGACCUUCUCUAGUCCUGAGGGUAAAGGUCAGGAGAUGGAGGGCAACAACAGGAGGCCCCUAGCCCCCUCCACUUCCCUCCCUCUGAAGGACAAGGCACCCGUCAGGAGUGA